AUGGCAACAUGAAAGGAGCCGAUCUCAUUACUGAGGCCCGGACACAUUAUUUUCUCCAAGGAAUUUCUUCUUUUCAUUAUUUCCCUCCAAAGCUUAGAGAAUUUCUUCAAGCCAGCCUUUGUCUUUAACCCCUGCGGCUCCGGCAGACAGCAGCCCAGCCACCCUUGCUAGGUUCCCGAGAUGCCUCCAGGGUCUGGGCUUUUCUCCAGCACGUGGCUCCCUGCUACCAUCCGAGAAGUCCCGGAUGCUGAGGACUUGCCCUGGAGAAUUGCCGACACACGGACAUUUAUGUCUUCCCCACGGGAAAAAACACCCCAUUAGAAGGCUGUGUGCCCUUGGGCAAGUAGCUCCCUGUUUCUGGGCUCGCUUUGCUCAUCUGUUAAGCAACUUCGUGUUGGUGUGUACCCAGGGAAUGAACAGAAAGCAUGAGCAGAGUCUGGCUGGCACCCAGGAGCAGUAAAUACCAAGGAUUGAUUAUCGUAUUUUGGCAAAAGUCUGGUUCCUCAUAGGAUCUCCAGGGAGCUGCAGCGGGCGGUACCAGAGGAAGGGCUUCUGGAAAUGGCUCCAGGGCAUCAAAUUCUGUAAGAGAGGAUCAGGGUGGACGCCCAUUCUACAGAGGGAAAACUGAGGCUCCUGACAGAACAGUGGCUUACCCCACUGGCUUCCCACUGCAUCCUUCUGCCUUAGCUUCUCACAGAGCCUGUCAUUCAGCUCACCAGAUUCUCUCUUGGGGACACAGGAGAACUGUCUGCCCCUGUGUUGUGGGUUCUC